UAGAUCAUGGUCAACUAACGUACGCGCCCACAUAUUAUUCUUAUUAUGUCAGCGGCAAAUUGGCAAUAGAGAAAGCGAGAAAAGAUUACAAAGAUUUCAAUUCAAUUUUUGUGAGAUGUACUUUCUUUGAAAUGUCUGCCUUGCAGAAGUAAUGGAUUGAUAGUAUUUUACAAUACAAUAACCGCACUUCAAGAAUUGCAAAUUCACUGGACCUAAGGUGAACAAUGUGAUGUUAUAAAGUAGAAAUCGACUCUAUUUGUAUUAUAGAUAUGAUAUUAAAUAUUUUCCUGUUAUUUGUAGUACUAAUAAAAAUUAUUAUAGAU